UGGGGAGUUUGGCUGGGGCGGCACA
rnacentral:ncRNA from 6 species